CGGAGAGGGCGCCUGAGAAACGGCUACCACUUCUAAGGAAGGCAGCAGGCGCGCAAAUUACCCAAUCCCGACUCAGGGAGGUAGUGACAAGAAAUAACAAUAAACCGGCUUAUGCCGGUUUAAUUGGAAUGAGUACAAUUUAAACAUCUUAACGAGGAACAAUUGGAGGGCAAGUCUGGUGCCAGCAGCCGCGGUAAUUCCAGCUCCAAUAGCGUAUACUAAAGUUGUUGCAGUUAAAAAGCUCGUAGUUGGAUUUCUGUGGGGACGGAGCGGCCGGUCGCAACUUGCGAUUCGAGCUAGCGCUUUCCCUACAUCCUGCCGCGAACCGUGCUACCAUUAGUUUGGUGGCGCCGGGGAUCGGCUCGUUUACUUUGAGAAAAAUAGAGUGUUCAAAGCAGGCCACACGCCUUGAAUAAGUUAGCAUGGAAUAAUAAUUAAGGACUUCGGUUCUAUUUUGUUGGUGUUCGGGACUGAGGUAAUGAUUGAUAGGGACAGUUGGGGCGGUCAGUAUUCCAAAGCGAGAGGUGAAAUUCUUAGACCUUCGGAAGACUAACAGCUGCGAAAGCGUUCCGCAAGGAUGUUCCCUUUGAUCAAGAACGAAAGUUGGGGGAUCGAAGACGAUCAGAUACCGUCGUAGUCUCAACUAUAAACUAUACCAGCUAGGGAUCGGCCAACGUUAAAUUAACCGACUUGGUCGGCACCUUAUGAGAAAUCAAAGCAUCUGGGUUCCGGGGGGAGUAUGGUCGCAAGGCUGAAACUUAAAGGAAUUGACGGAAGGGCACCACCAGCCGUGGAGCCUGUGGCUUAAUUUGACUCAACACGGGAAAACUUACCAGGUCCAGACAUAGUAAGGAUUGACAGAUUGAUAGCUCUUUCUUGAUUCUGUGGGUGGUGGUGCAUGGCCGUUCUUAGUUGGUGGAGUGAUUUGUCUGGUUAAUUCCGUUAACGAACGAGACCCCAGCCUGCUAAAUAGCGCGGCUGAGCUUUGCUCGGCGCGAGCUUCUUAGAGGGACUAUGAUGCGCGAUAGCACAUGGAAGUUUGGGGCAAUAACAGGUCUGUGAUGCCCUUAGAUGUUCUGGGCCGCACACGGGCUACACUGGCGCCUGCAACGAGCAUAUCAGCUGGCCCGAGAGGGUCUUGGCUAAUCUUUUGAACCGGCGCCGUGCUUGGGAUUGACCAUCGCAAUUGUUGGUCAUGCAACGAGGAAUGCCUUGUAAACGCGAGUCAUCAACUCGCAUUGAAUACGUCCCUGCCCUUUGUACACACCGCCCGUCGCUCCUACCGAUGAAUGUUCCGAUGAAAUUUUCGGAGAGGGCGCAUGAGAACGGGGCUCCGCCUUGCAGAUCUGGAGGCUCAAAGUCACUUAAAUCUGAACAUUUCGAGGAAGGAGAAGUCGUAACAAGGUAACC
rnacentral:rRNA from 1 species